UGUUAAAAUAUUCAUCUAUUUCUACUAUUAAAAAUUGACAUGGCCGAAAAAAUAACCAGAAAGUUACAAAGAUAACUUUUGAUAGUAGAAAUAGAUAAAAUUUUUAAUA
rnacentral:pre_miRNA from 1 species